AUUCCCGUGGUGUUAAUGGUAGCAUAACAGUCUCCAAAACUGCUGGUCUAGGUUCGAAUCCUAGCGGGUUUGCCA
rnacentral:tRNA from 1 species